rnacentral:rRNA from 1 species
GCCUACGGGGGGCAGCAGUGAGGAAUAUUGGUCAAUGGGCGAGAGCCUGAACCAGCCAAGUCGCGUGAGGGAAGACGGUCCUAUGGAUUGUAAACCUCUUUUGCCGGGGAGCAAAAAGCGGUACGUGUACCGCAUCGAGAGUACCCGGAGAAAAAGCAUCGGCUAACUCCGUGCCAGCAGCCGCGGUAAUACGGAGGAUGCGAGCGUUAUCCGGAUUUAUUGGGUUUAAAGGGUGCGCAGGCGGCGAGUUAAGUCAGCGGUAAAAUUUCGGGGCGCAACCCCGCCGAGCCGUUGAAACUGGCUUG